rnacentral:rRNA from 1 species
AUUGAACGCUGGCGGCAGGCCUAACACAUGCAAGUCGAACGAGUGGCGGACGGGUGAGUAAUGUCUGGGAAACUGCCCGCUGGAGGGGGAUAACUACUGGAAACGGUAGCUAAUACCGCAUAUCAUCGGAUGUGCCCAGAUGGGAUUAGCUUGGAGGUGAGGUAUCGGCGCACCUAGGCGCCGAUCCCUAGCUGGUCGGAGAGGAUGACCAGCCACACUGGAACGGAGACACGGUCCAGACUCCUACGGUAGGCAGCAGUGGGGAAUAUUGCACAAUGGGCGCAAGCCUGAUACAGCCAUGCCGCGUGUAUGAAGAAGGCCUGCGGGUUGUAAAGUACUUUCAGCGGGGAGGCGUUACCCGCAGAAGAAGCACCGGCUAACUCCGUGCCAGCAGCCGCGGUAAUUC